UGUGGUAGGCAUGACUUGCUGCCUCAGUGCUUGAACAGCCUCAGGAGGCAGAUCCUUGGCUUCCCACGGAAGUCACUGGUGGCAUCCCUCAGGUGAGGUGCUGGAUUGAAUACUUUCUAUGCACAGCCUGCUACAACCUUCCUAACAACCCCAAGACCUGGAUCCGUUACUACUCCUAUCUUGCAGAUAAAGAAAUUGACACUAAGGAAUGUUACGGAACUUGCUCAAGGAUGGUAUAAUCUGCAAGGAAAUGGCAAGAGAAGGACCAAGGAGAGGGAAUGACCAUCCAUCGAACAGGAGUCAGGCCCUGCGUAAAUCCGUUACUUCUCUUUACUUCUCCAGCAAGGCAGGUAUUAGGAACUCUGUUUUACAAGUGAGGAAAGAGGUUCAUAGAGGCUCAGUAACAUGCCAAAACCACACAGGUAGGCUGUGGCUGAUGUAGCUGUGAGGUCAGUCCAGAACCCCUGCUCUUCCCGCUGUGGUCAUGACACAAGGCAGGAUAUGCUGUGCACCUAAGGAACUGUCUGAACUGAGGGCUGCAGACCCUGAGAUGUGGGAGAGGUUGCUGAACUGAGGUCUGGUCUUAGAGGUUUUUAGGAGGAAGAAAUUGCCCUCUGACCUUAAAGGUGGGGUGGUUGUUAGGAUGGGGAUUGGGGGGACCUCUCUGAGGGUGUGAAAGCCCUGGGGCCCUGGGGCCCUGGGGAGGGUGUCCUUGGAAAGCUGUGAGGCUGGCUGAUGGGCAGGUGAGGGUGGAGUAAUGGUCCCUGCUUGGGCUCCCUGCUAGAGCACGUGCUCUUUCAAGAGGCUCUGGGCCCACCUCCCCGCUGCAGCUCCCAUGGCACCGAGCACCGUGUGGUUCUGGUCUAUGUCAGCUGAACGAAUAGAUCUUUCUGUCCGACUCCUUGGGUGAGCAAUCAGGGUUGUCAUCUCAGCCAGAUCCAAGCAAAGAACCCGCCGCCUCCUUGUUGUGGAACUCAAAUCACCCCAGUUUUCUGGGGUAGCGUCCCUGCCCACUGAGCGCUCCAGGAGGCUGCUUGUUGAGGUGCUGUCUCACUGAAAUGAAGAUGCCAACUCCUUUCCCCAAGCUGAAUGGGAAACAGAUCGUAUGCUAAAAGUAACAGGUCUGUGUACAGUGCCCCGAUGAAAGGGCUCACACUCUGGAGUCAGACAAAAGUGGCUUCCUUCAGACGCAUCCUCUGCCUUGGUGGCUCCCUGAUCUUAAGCAAGUCCUUUAUCUUCGAUAAGUCACAGUCUUCUCAUCUGUAAAGGAGGGCUACUGGUACCUAGAUGGUCCAAGUCCAAACCUGGUGGCCUUUCCCCUGCCCCGGUCUCUCAGAGCUGACACAAUUAGACCUACACUGCUUGGCUCUGAGUUUUAAGGAUUCAGAGUUAGGAAAGAUCAGGGCAGACUUCUGGGAGGAAGGAUGAUGAAGACUGGGUCUGUCUUGUGUCUCACAGGGGUACAAACUGUGAGGACUCCUGAUAAAAUAACCAAAAAUAGCUCAGUUCAUGAAACUAUGGUCAAGUGUAGUAGUCCCCCCUUAUCCCUGGGGAAUGUGUUCCAGGACCCCCAGUGGAUGCCUGAAGCCAUAGAUAGUCCUGAACCCUAUAUACAAUGUGUUUUCUCCUAUACAUAGGUACCUAUGAUAAAGUUUAAUUUAUAAAUUAGGCACAAUAAGAAAUUAACCACAAUAACACAAUAAAAUAAAAUAAUAACUAUACUGUAAUAAAAGU
rnacentral:lncRNA from 1 species